rnacentral:rRNA from 1 species
GUCGUGGGGGAUAACUAUCCAAAAGGAUUGCUAAUACCGCAUACGUCCUGAGGGAGAAAGCGGGGGAUCGCAAGACCUCGCGCGAUUGGAGCGGCCGAUAUCGGAUUAGCUAGUUGGUGGGGUAAAGGCUCACCAAGGCGACGAUCCGUAGCGGGUCUGAGAGGACGACCCGCCACACUGGAACUGAGACACGGUCCAGACUCCUACGGGAGGCAGCAGUGGGGAAUUUUGGACAAUGGGGGCAACCCUGAUCCAGCCAUUCCGCGUGAGUGAAGAAGGCCUUCGGGUUGUAAAGCUCUUUCAGCAGGAACGAAACGGUCGGCUUUAAUAAAGUCGGCUAAUGACGGUACCUGCAGAAGAAGCACCGGCUAACUACGUGCCAGCAGCCGCGGUAAUACGUAGGGUGCGAGCGUUAAUCGGAAUUACUGGGCGUAAAGCGUGCGCAGGCGGCGACAUAAGACAGAUGUGAAAUCCCCGGGCUCAACCUGGGAACUGCGUUUGUGACUGUGUUGCUAGAGUGUAGCAGAGGGGGGUGGAAUUCCACGUGUAGCAGUGAAAUGCGUAGAGAUGUGGAGGAACACCGAUGGCGAAGGCAGCCCCCUGGGUUAACACUGACGCUCAUGCACGAAAGCGUGGGGAGCAAACAGGAUUAGAUACCCUG